UACGUAGGGGGCAAGCGUUGUCCGGAUUUAUUGGGCGUAAAGAGCGUGUAGGCGGCUAGGUAGGUCCGUUGUGAAAACUCGAGGCUCAACCUCGAGACGUCGAUGGAAACCAUCUGGCUAGAGUCCGGAAGAGGAGAGUGGAAUUCCUGGUGUAGCGGUGAAAUGCGCAGAUAUCAGGAAGAACACCCGUGGCGAAGGCGGCUCUCUGGUACGUGACUGACGCUGAGACGCGAAAGCGUGGGGAGCGAACGGG
rnacentral:rRNA from 1 species